AACCAUCACCACCACACCUCUCCCCACCAUUGCAUCACCAGACCUCUUACCUAACCCCAGAUCCAAGGCCACCCCCUUCCUCACCGCCACCUCCCCUCUUAGCAGCCCACCCUCCUACAGCCACCACACACACACACACUCUCUCUCUCUCUCUCUCUCUCUCCCCCAAAAAAUUUACUCUACACACCCAAUCACCACAACCAACCACUCAUCUCACUGACACAAAACAACUCCUCCCUAUCCCUCAACUUAACAAGUCCAAUGCCAUCACAGCAGCCAAUGAUCCACCCCCUUCCCCACAUGCAAUCAACCCCCACAUCCAAAAAACCCAAAAUGAAAACCUUAUCCCCACCCACAGACCCAAACCCAUUUCGCACCGUCCUCCUCCUCCAAUUGUAGCUUCUUCACGCGCUCGGAGGUUGGGUCCCACGUAGGAGCAGAGGUUGGUCUUCCAUUCAUGGUGUAUGCGUCUGUGGCUGUGGUUGAUUUGGGGAAGAAGGGAUUGUAGAGAGUGGGAGAGAUAGAGAGAGACAAAGAGAUAUGGAAGGUCAAAGGGUUGGGAGAUUUAUUGAAGACAAAUCUAGAUAAGGAAAUUCAUGAAGAUGAUGCUGAUUUACUAAAACGGAAAAGUGAAUUUGGAACAAACACAUAUCAUCGGAAAAAAGCGAGGAGUUUAUGGGAUUUUAGGCUUUGAUUUUCUGGGUUUACACAUAUGGGCUGCUCCCUCUCUGUGCAGGUAAGACUACUCUUUCUCGGUACUAGUUGUGAGCUGACGUUAUAUUUUUUUUCUAGAGAAAACUGAAAAUCUGAGAGAAAAAUAGAAGACAUGGGAAGAAAGUGAGCUCUAAAGCUCGUUCUUUGACUGUGAUACUCAUUGCAUCUUAUAUUAGCAGGUGGCGGCCUCCUUGCUGACCUGUGGAGCUGGAUAUGAGGAUAAGGUUUUCCGAUUAAUUGAAUUUUUUUUUAUAAUGAAUCAAAACAAGGAGUAUACAAAUUCGUACGUAUUUGUCAAGAGGAAUACUUCGUAUAUGAAGUGAAAUGGCUGGUGUACUUAUCUCAACUAUAUCAAUACUAUUGUGUGGAACACAAGUUCCAGCAAAAAUUUGGUUGUCA